GAUGAAGAACGUAGCGAAAUGCGAUAAGUAAUGUGAAUUGCAGAAUUCAGUGAAUCAUCGAAUCUUUGAACGCACAUUGCGCCCCCUGGUAUUCCGGGGGGCAUGCCUGUUCGAGCGUCAUUUCACCACUCAAGCCUCGCUUGGUAUUGGGCAACGCGGUCCGCCGCGUGCCUCAAAUCGUCCGGCUGGGUCUUCUGACCCCUAAGCGUUGUGGAAACUAUUCGCUAAAGGGUGUUCGGGAGGCUACGCCGUAAAACAACCCCAUUUCUAAGGUUGACCUCGGAUCAGGUAGGGAUACCCGCUGAACUUAAGCAUAUCAAUAAGCGGAGGA
rnacentral:misc_RNA from 1 species